rnacentral:rRNA from 1 species
AGCGGAGGAAAAGAAACUAACAAGGAUUCCCCUAGUAGCGGCGAGCGAAGCGGGAAGAGCUCAAAUUUAUAAUCUGGCACCUUCGGUGUCCGAGUUGUAAUCUCUAGAAAUGUUUUCCGCGUUGGACCGCACACAAGUCUGUUGGAAUACAGCGGCAUAGUGGUGAGACCCCCGUAUAUGGUGCGGACGCCCAGCGCUUUGUGAUACAUUUUCGAAGAGUCGAGUUGUUUGGGAAUGCAGCUCAAAUUGGGUGGUAAAUUCCAUCUAAAGCUAAAUAUUGGCGAGAGACCGAUAGCGAACAAGUACCGUGAGGGAAAGAUGAAAAGCACUUUGGAAAGAGAGUUAACAGUACGUGAAAUUGUUGGAAGGGAAACGCUUGAAGUCAGACUUGCUUGCUGAGCAAUCGGUUUGCAGGCCAGCAUCAGUUUUCCGGGAUGGAUAAUGGUAGAGAGAAGGUAGCAGUUUCGGCUGUGUUAUAGCUCUCUGCUGGAUACAUCUUGGGGGACUGAGGAACGCAGUGUGCCUUUGGCGGGGGUUUCGACCUCUUCACACUUAGGAUGCUGGUGGAAUGGCUUUAAACGACCCGUCUUGAACACCGGGACCAAA